rnacentral:lncRNA from 1 species
GUGACCUUGCAGCCUGGGAGGGACUAGAGAGAGUAGGAAAAGCCCCAGGCGGCAGAAGAAUCAAAUCUCAAGAUACUUGAGGUGGUCACUCCAUCAGCAGUGUAGGCCUCGUGAUGGGGCCCAGGCUGCCGCGAGGCGGGGUCGGAAGCGGCCUGGCCUGAGGACCUGGCUCUGGGCAGCCUGGCAGGGGAGGGGUCCCGCUGGGAAAGGGGGCGACCGCCACAGGACUGUUACUUUAGGAGCAGUGAAGACCUCAUUUCCAACCACGGCCCAUUACAAAGGGGAGAAAGGGUGGAAGCAAAUGUCCCCUGGCAGAAUUCUCCUGUGGCCUCGUACCCAGCUCCGAAGUGCCCGGCUUCUCUCUUUCCAUGUGUGGCCUGUGUAAAUGCCUCCUGAGCUGCCAUUCCUGGAUUUGAGCCUGACUCUGCCACUUACUCGCAGUGUGCCCAUAGAUCUUCAUCCAUAUCCGCCCACUGACUGUUUAUGAUUCCAAGUAGCUGUGGUUCAGGAUGGAACAGACUUCACCAGGAUGAUCAAAUGAAGCCCUACCAUCAGCAUCCACCCAAGAGCAUGUCUGCUAGCGUGUAGACCGUGUGCUGGGAACUAUGUGUGUAUGCAGCGGGGUUCAGCUCACAGGGCUCCCUCACCCCUUCUUAGGAAACUCCCAAAUAAGGCACUUUCCCUCUUAUGUCUGGAGUGAGAGGGUUGGAGCGGGGCAGAGAGGAGAGGGCACUUAUCCCACAGCCACUUGUGAGCAUAUCACGGUUUACUCAACCCAUAUCUUUUCAUUCAGCAGCCAGUGCACUCAGGCAGUAUACCCAGACUGCCUGUGCCAAGUUGUGUUGACAGCACAUGGGAGAAUAAAAAGAAACAGAAGACAAUGGUUCCUCCUAUGGGGGGGUGCAUGUGGUAACACAUGGAGAGGGGACUUGAGCUUGCAAAGCCACCAGACAUCAAC